GAGAGGCAGGGCGGUGGAGUCCGCCCGGAAACGUCGCGGCACCUGACGCGGCCAAUGACUCCUACAGCAGU
rnacentral:ncRNA from 2 species